UGAGUACGAGAUGCUACGGCAUCGAAGCAGUCUAUGUCAUACUUCCAAGAAAAGCUUGCAAUGUCAUAAACAAAUAAUGCCUGUACCAUAACCGACACAGGUGGGUAGGUAGAGCAUACUAAGGGGCGCGAGAUAACUCUCUCUAAGGAACUCGGCAAAAUGACUCCGUAACUUCGGGAGAAGGAGUGCCUUAUUUUUAUAAGGUUGCAAUAACAAUAUCCAAGCAACUGUUUACCAAAAACACAGGUCUCCGCUAAGUCGUAAGACGAUGUAUGGGGGCUGACGCCUGCCCAGUGCCAGAAGGUUAAAGAAGUUGGUUAGCAUUAGCGAAGCUGAUAACUGAAGCCCUGGUGAACGGCGGCCGUAACAAUAACGGUCCUAAGGUAGCGAAAUUCCUUGUCGGGUAAGUCCCGACCCGCACGAAAGGCGUAAUGAUUUGGAUACUGUCUCGGAGAGGGGCUCGGUGAAAUAGACUUGUCUGUGAAGAUGCGGACUACCUGCACCUGGACAGAAAGACCCUAUGAAGCUUUACUGUAACUUGAGAUUGAAAUUGGACUUUAUCUGCGCAGUAUAGGUGGGAGAUGUUGAAAAUAUUCUUGCGGGAAUAUUGGAGUCAUCAGUGAGAUACCACUCUUAUAAUGCUAGAUUUCUAACUUUGUAUCAUUAUCUGGUCAAAGAACAGUUUCAGGCGGGCAGUUUGACUGGGGCGGUCGCCUCCCAAACGGUAACGGAGGCGCACAAAGGUUUCCUCUGAACGUGUAGAAAUCGUAUCUAGAGUGUAAAGGCAUAAGGAAGCUUGACUGUGAGACCUACAAGUCGAGCAGGGACGAAAGUCGGUCUUAGUGAUCUGACGGUGCUGAGUGGAAAGGCCGUCACUCAACGGAUAAAAGUUACUCUAAGGAUAACAGGCUGAUCUCCCCCAAGAGUUCACAUCGACGGGGAGGUUUGGCACCUCGAUGUCGGCUCAUCGCAUCCUGGGGCGGUAGUACGUCCCAAGGGUUGGGCUGUUCGCCCAUGAAAGCGGUACGCGAGCUGGGUUCAGAACGUCGUGAGACAGUUCGGUCCAUAUCCGGUGUAGGCGUUAGAAUAUUGAGAGGAGCCUUCUUUAGUACGAGAGGACCGAGAAGGACAUACCUCUGGUGUACCAGUUAUCGUGCCAACGGUAAACGCUGGGUAGCCAUGUAUGGAGAGGAUAACCGCUGAAAGCAUCUAAGUGGGAAGCCCACCUCAAGAUAAGUAUUCUCAUCA
rnacentral:rRNA from 1 species